AGUAGACAGCUAGCUUGGUAGCUAACUGCAUAGGAUGUGAAAACAAGCCACACGGUCUAAUUUAAGGCAGCCCCUGGAUGUACAACUACGUUUUGCUGCAAAGUUGACCCUAACACCGGAAAGCAUAUUUGAAUUUUCAAACAAAUGUARCCGCUAACAUCGUAGAGAAGAUAMAUAUUUCGGAUAGCUCCGCUAGCACAGGCAAAAGUCGUCAGCUAUCGUUGAGUUUACACAUAAGAGAGCAAAUCAAAUAUAUACACUUUUGUGGAUUACGUAAACAUAUCAAACUAAGGCUCGUCAUCAUCAUUGAAGACUUCCAGCAGCUACAGUGUUACAGGUUUGUGUGAUUUUGCUAAAAUGCAUCACCAACAGCGAAUGGCUGCCAUAGGGACAGACAAAGAACURARCGACUUAUUGGAUUUCAG